GACGAACGCUGGCGGCGUGCUUAACACAUGCAAGUCGAACGGUGAAGCUCCAGUUUGCUGGAGUGGAUCAGUGGCGAACGGGUGAGUAACACGUGAGCAACCUGCCCCUGACUCUGGAAUAAGCGCUGGAAACGGCGUCUAAUACUGGAUACGAGAAGGGUCCGCAUGGGCACUUUCUGGAAAGUUCUGCGGUUGGGGAUGGGCUCGCGGCCUAUCAGCUUGUUGGUGAGGUAGUGGCUCACCAAGGCGACGACGGGUAGCCGGCCUGAGAGGGCGACCGGCCACACUGGGACUGAGACACGGCCCAGACUCCUACGGGAGGCAGCAGUGGGGAAUAUUGCACAAUGGGCGAAAGCCUGAUGCAGCGACGCCGCGUGAGGGAUGACGGCCUUCGGGUUGUAAACCUCUUUCGGCAGGGAAGAAGCGAAAGUGACGGUACCUGCAGAAGAAGCACCGGCUAACUACGUG
rnacentral:rRNA from 1 species